GGUACCUAAAUUUAAUAUAGGAGCACUGAUAUUUAGUAAGAAAAUAUAUUAAAAGAUUUUUAUUUGUAUUUUUUCAUUUUAUGUGACUUUGUAGAACAAACCUUGCAAAGUGGAAUCUAUCACUUCCGCAAUUUAUAAGUGGUAAAGAAGUCCUCUCGCCAGAAGAGAGAGUCAAAGUUUUACUUGUACCCCAUCCUCCUGAGCGAGUAUUGGUCGCCGAGUAUGUAAGAUUGCACCCACCAUUGUAUCAAAUAAUGUUACAUUCUUGAUUGACGCCUCUUCCUCAAAGAAGGGGAUGAUUGGAAAUGUGACGAUAUGGGAGCUUGGGAAUACAAUGGGGUGAAAAAGACUCUAUUUUGUAUUUCUGAGGGGAGGAUAAGCGAAGUAAGUCAAUGUAAAACCAAAAAAAAAUGAAGGUUUCUAUACAUUAGUGAGAAUGUAUUCUAAAAGCAAGACAUCUCCUGACAUCAAGAAGUACGAGGCAUAUCUAGAAGGUACAGGCAUUUGUAAACGUUUUGGACCCAAUUAUUAAAUGAGUUUACAAGAUCCAUAUUUUACUGGCAUUGAUUUUUGACCAUGACCAAUUUUAAUUCUUGAUUGAGGACAGAACUUAGAUUGUAAUUUUUUAUUUAUUUUGCUUGUAAAUGCUCACUUUCUUUGUUGCGACACACAUGUAGAAAACUAAGCAUUAUUAAUGGUUCAGUAUAUCUUCGAUGGGAAAGAACACGAAAUUACGCCCAGUCCUCAUAGUAACUCGCGGCAGAAACAAUCAGGUGGAUAUAUUUGGACAAAAACAAGCAUAUAAAAAAGAGUAAAAGAAGUUGCUGAAACAUCUGGACCUAGAGGAACCUUUCAUCGUGUGAGCGAAGAAAGUGGUGGUUUCUUAGGUGCCAGUGCAGCAAGUGACCUUCCCAGAAACAGAACGCAAGCCAAAAAUUGCCGAGCCAAAACAAAGCAAAUCACGAGUAUUAAAAAAGUUGACUCUCUUGCUGUUCUUCUCCAGGAGUGCAAGAGGCAGCAAUUAAGCAAAAGAAAAGAUCCUUUUAUUCGUGACGUAUCAGCUGCUCCUGAACUCAGAUGUGUUACGACGCAUCGCAAUUUGAAAGUUGUAACAAGAAGAGAAGGUCAUUAUCCUUUAAUAAUAGGGCCUCUUCUAAUUAGCCAAACCAAAACAGCCGAAUCGUAUGAUUACUUCUUUGGUAAAUUGACUUCCCUUAAUAAAAACAUAAAAAACAUUCUCGCCAUUGUGACAGAUGGGAAAGAGACUUUGAUCAGUGCCAUGAAGAACAGUAAGUGCUAUGCAUUUCAUUUACGAUGCUUUGGGCACCGUAAAUGGCUAAACCUAAAACUUUAAAUUACAGUUGAGAAAAUCAAAUGUGUCAGACACAGCACAAAAUACUUUUCUUGAUGACAUAUUUGGAAAAAGAUCAGGGGAAAUUUAUGAGAAGGGUAUGUUUGCAAAAACAUAUUAGUAAAGUGCCACGUGUUAUUACAUUGCACAUUUUAAAAUUUCUUUUAGUCUUACUAUACUCCCUCAAUGAAAGUGAAUUUCUCUCCAAUCUCAAUGCGCUGAAAGAGAUAUGGGUUGAAAGAGAACGUUGUUUUUCAGUGCAAAUCAAGAGCCAUCUUUCUUCAAAUUUAUAAACGCAGAAAGUAUGCUGACUGAAGUUCGAAGGAAUUGUGGAAUGGGAGAUCCACCCACACCAUUCUACACAAAUGUACCCGAAUCUGCCAUAAGAGCAGUGAACUUUCAAGAAAAUGACAUGUCAACAUUUGCGAUAAAAAUGCGACAACUGAUCAAGCAACAACGUGAAGAUGUAAGAGGUGCUUUACUUAAUAGCGGUCCCUACAGGCUAAUCGAGAAGCAUUUUCAUCUUCAACUCACAAAACAACAAUGGUUUGCUAAUAGCGCUGCCCAACGUAAGACUCACGAAAGAAAACUGGACCAGACCUUUUGCGUAGAGGAUAAGCAAACUAAGAUGACGAAUCUUUUUCUCUAUCCUUAUCACUAACACCCGAGGACGCUAACCUAUCGAGUGUACCAGUCCAAACUGUGGAAAGAGUUUUCAGAAAAGCUCAGAAAGUGUUAAUGUAGGAUGGAGCUAUAGUUUCAGCCACAGGAGGAAACAGUAAAUCUUUUCUCGUUUUAAGCGAAACAUCCCAAAGACCUCACUAUGUAUUCAUUGAAAAUAGUGGGAAAAUUAUUUGCGAAAUAUGUCUUAGAUGCGUCGCUGCACACUUUGCAAGAAUGCUGCUGCUAUAGCAGAAAAAAACAAAAAGCUUAAAAGAAUAUGUUGAAUGGCUAGAACGUAAACAAAAUCCCACUAACCUUACAACUCUUGUCAACUUUGACUCCAGUAAAAGUGUUGGAAAAAAGGGAAAUAAGCCAGCAACCAAGCGAAGAAAGGGAUAUAGAAAAAAGAAAGACGAUGAUGUGAUAAUGAUUGUCGAUCGAAUAAGUCAAAGUAAUUUGCAAUCACAGCAACAUCAGGUUCUUAUUUAUUAUUUUGCUGAUCUCUGAUGUUUUUAAGUUUGACUUAAAUGCAGUGCAAGCAAAAAGGUCACCUCAAAAUUAAGUUUCAAGUAAAUAUUGUUGAAAAAUAUGAACGUAUAACAUUAAAUAUACAAUUCCAAACGCUUCA